rnacentral:rRNA from 1 species
CGCCUUAAAUCUAAAGGGUUUGGCGGCCUGUGAAUCCAAUAAGAGGAGCUUGUAAGAUAAACGACGAUCCUCGAAGAAUCUAACUUAAACCUAAAGUUUGUAUACCGCCAUCUAAAGAAAAUUCUAAGAUAUUCUUAAUACAAAUAAAUCUCUAAUGUUAGGUCAAGGCGCAGCUAGUGUUUAAGUCUUUAUGAGCUACAAUUCCCUAGAGAAAUGGUAUGUGAGUUGAAAUAAUCACGUUAAAGAGGAUUUUAGAGUAAUAUUUAUUAAGCAAGGUACAAUGACUUGGAACCCACAAGUGCACAUAUCGCCCGUCGCACGCGGGA